AGAACGAACGCUGGCGGCAUGCCUAACACAUGCAAGUCGAACGAGACCUUCGGGUCUAGUGGCGCACGGGUGCGUAACGCGUGGGAACCUGCCUUUAGGUUCGGGAUAACAGUUAGAAAUGACUGCUAAUACCGGAUGAUGUCUUCGGACCAAAGAUUUAUCGCCUUUAGAUGGGCCCGCGUUGGAUUAGCUAGUUGGUGGGGUAAAGGCCUACCAAGGCGACGAUCCAUAGCUGGUCUGAGAGGAUGAUCAGCCACACUGGGACUGAGACACGGCCCAGACUCCUACGGGAGGCAGCAGUGGGGAAUAUUGGACAAUGGGCGAAAGCCUGAUCCAGCAAUGCCGCGUGAGUGAUGAAGGCCUUAGGGUUGUAAAGCUCUUUUACCAGGGAUGAUAAUGACAGUACCUGGAGAAUAAGCUCCGGCUAACUCCGUGCCAGCAGCCGC
rnacentral:rRNA from 1 species